GCGGUUUUUUAGUCUAUUCAGAGGAACCUGUUCUAUAAUCGAUAGUCCACGAUUUACUUGACCUUUAUUAUAAAUUUGUAUAUCGUCGUAGUUUGAAUAUUUUAAAAGAAUUUAAAUAUUCAAAAUUUAUUUUUUAAAUAAUAUCAGAUCAAGGUAUAGUUCAUAUAAAGGUAGAAAUGGGUUACAUUAAUUUUAAUUAAGGAUAAUUUAUUGAAAAUAAAUUUGAAUAAGGAUUUGAGGGUAAUUUUUUAAUUUUAAAAAAAUGAUUUUAGCUCUAAAAUAUGCACAUAUCGCCCGUCGCUUUCACUUUAAGGUGAAAUAAGUCGUAACAAAGUAGGCUUACUGGAAAGUGUGCCUAGAAAGA
rnacentral:rRNA from 1 species